rnacentral:rRNA from 1 species
GGAAUAUUGGUCAAUGGGCGAGAGCCUGAACCAGCCAUGCCGCGUGCAGGAAGACGGCCCUCUGGGUUGUAAACUGCUUUUAUACGGGAAGAAAAGGCCUCUGCGGAGGACAUUGACGGUACCGUAGGAAUAAGCCACGGCUAACUACGUGCCAGCAGCCGCGGUAAUACGUAGGUGGCGAGCGUUAUCCGGAUUUAUUGGGUUUAAAGGGUGCGUAGGCGGCUUAGUAAGUCGGUGGUUAAAGGUAGCAGCUCAACUGUUUUACAUGCCACCGAUACUGUUAAGCUUGAGUUAUCAGAAGGCAGGCGGAAUUUCUGGUGUAGCGGUGAAAUGCAUAGAUACCAGAAGGAACUCCUAUUGCGAAGGCAGCUUGCUGCAGAUAAACUGACGCUGAGGCACGAAAGUAUGGGGAUCAAAC